UACAGAGGGGGCAAGCGUUGUCCGGAUUUACUGGGCGUAAAGGGCGUGCAGGCGGUUUGUUAAGUCUAGGGUGAAAGCUCCCGGCUCAACUGGGAGAGGUCCUUGGAUACUGGCAGACUUGAGGAGGGUAGAGGAGAGUGGAAUUCCCGGUGUAGUGGUGAUAUGCGUAGAUAUCGGGAGGAACACCAGUGGCGAAGGCGGCUCUCUGGGCCCUACCUGACGCUGAGACGCGAAAGCGUGGGGAGCGAACCGG
rnacentral:rRNA from 1 species